AUGAGAGUCCAAUACCUGCUCCAGACAGUGUUUAGCCACUCUGUACGGCAACUCUAAAGCGGGGUAUACAUAUACAGAUCAUUGGACCGAGUAUGAUUCAGCCUUUCAUCAGAAAAUGGACGAUUAUUGGUUUUCUCUAAAGAUUAUCAACACCUAGACGGCGCGGGGACCUACGCGAGGAUCCUGUUCGUGGACUUCAGCUCAACAACACAACCAUCCCUGGACUCCUCUCCUCCGAGCUUCUCCAGCUCAGCGUCUCGCCUGCCAUCUGCCAGUGGAUUUACAGCUUCCUGACGGGCAGGACACAGCAGGUGAGGCGGGGGACACCACGUCAUCUACACGCACCACCAGCACCGGAGCCCCCCAAGACGACACCACAAUCAUCGGCCUCAUCAAAGACGGUGACGAGUCUGCGUAUCGACAGGAAGUGGAGCGGAUGGAGCUGUGGUGCGGCCGACACAACCUGGAGCUGAUCACACUCAAGACUGUAGAGAUGAUCGUGGACUUCAGGAGGCAUCCUUCGCCACAGCUGUCCCUCACGCUAUCCAACUGCCCUGUGUCGAGACCUUCAAAUUCCUGGGAAUUACAAUCUCUCAGGACCUGAAGUGGGAGAUCAACAUCAACUCCAUCCUCAAAAAGGGCCAGCGGAGGGUGUACUCCCUGCGGCUUCUGAGGAAGCACGGCCUGCCACAGGAACUGAGAAGGCAGUUCUACACAGCGGUCAUCGAAUCAGUCCUGUGUUCUUCCAUCACAGUCUGGUUUGGUGCUGCUACAAAAAAGGACAAACUCCGACUGCAAUGGACAAUCAAAACUGCUGAAAAGAUUGUCCCCUACCCACCCUUGAGGAAUUAAGACAAGAGCAUGCAAAAUCCUCCUGGACCGUCCACAUCCUGGUCACCAGCUCUUCCAGCUCCUUCCCUCAGGUAGGCACUACUGAACAAUAAAAACUAAAAGAAGCAGACAUUCCAACAGCUUCUUCCUACUUGCCAUUAACUUUUUAAACAGUUAACUUACAAUUCCAUUGCAACAUGCUCCCAGUUUUUUGUCUUGAGUUUGUUGUCACAUUUCUGUCGGGCCAAUUAUACAUAUUCGUGCACUCACUUUAAUAGUCGUGCCAUGCUGCACUAUUUGCAUAUCUGUUGUUAACCAAUAAUGGCCACUCAUGUGCCUGAGUAGCAUCUGCAACAUUUGCACAAUCAACAUUGUCCCAGAUUAUCACACUACAAGUCACUUUAAACUGCAUACAUUUCUUGAAGUCUCGGCGCCCUUUGCACAAUGUUCAUUGCACCGGACUAUUGUUCUAUUAGUCAUUUCAAACUGCUCUAAUUGCUAGAGGAAUCUGCAUCUUUUUGGACAAUUGUCAAAAAAAAAUAAAAAAAAAUAAAUGUACCGGCAUUACCAGAUAACUAUUAACCCAUUAAAACAUUUUUUUUUUAAGUACCGGCUUUACCACAUUACUGGCAACCUUUUAUUGCUCAGUGACUGUUUUUUGUUUUUGUUUUUAUGUCUCAAAAGUAUUCUCUGUCAAUUGACUGUCCUAUCUCUAAGGGAGAGCCCGGACACCCUGUGGAGGAAACUCAUUUCUGCCGCUUGAAUCUGGGAUCUUGUUCUUUCGGUCACGGUUCUUUUGCCUUUCGGCUUAGCAUCACUGCAGACGCUGCACCAAUCCGCCUGUCGAUCUCCCGUUCUCUUCUUCCCUUACUCGUGAACAAGACCCCAAGAUACUUGAACUGCUCCACUUGGGGCAGGAUCUCAUCCCCGACCCGGAGAGGGCACGCCACCCUUUUCCGACUGAGGACCAUGGUCUCAGAUUUGGAGGUGCUGAUUCUCAUUCCAGCCGCUUCACACUCGGCUGCGAACUUCUCCAGUGAGAGUUGGAGAUCACGGCCUGAUGAACCCAACAGAACCAUAUCAUCUGCAAAAAGCAGAAAUGCAAUACUGAGGCCACCAAACCGGACCCCCUCUAUGCCUUGGCUGUGCCGUGAAAUUCUGUCCAUAAAAGUUAUGAACAGAAUCGGUGACAAAGGGCAGCCUUGGCGGAGUCUGACCCUCACCGGAAACGAGUCCGACUUACUGCCGGAUAUGCGGACCAAACUCUGACUCCGGUCGUACAGGGACCGAACAGACCGUCAGUUGAGAACCAGUUCUCAUUCACAAUGACAACCUGGCCAGGAGGCAGGCUGAGGAAGGCUUCAUCUCCGUGAAUAAGUUAAGAAAGGCGCUAAAGCUUUAAAUUUGGACGGCCUUCAUUAAAAGAGCUCCCCAGACUGCAAUUCAUCUCAGUUCUUUUUACUUUCCUCUCUUGAGGCCAUAAUGUACUGGCAGUCGGGAAGACAGAGGUUGUCACCAGAGAAGGGUUCAUGUUUGAGGGAGACUGUCGAGAGGGUCUGUAACACCCCGGGGACAGGUGACAGACCUCUGGUUAAUAUAUGUACGUCGGCUUGACAAAGUGCUAACGGGGCUAGUUUUUACAAUGAAUCUCGCUGUCCCAAUCUGGCUGCCUUUUACCUUUAGUACAUUUAGUGGCCUUUAAUAUUUUAUCUUUGGGGUAUUUUGAUCAAUUAUCACAGACAUGUUAUUAAGGAACCUUGGAACGGGA